rnacentral:rRNA from 1 species
UACGAAGGGGGCUAGCGUUGUUCGGAAUUACUGGGCGUAAAGCGCGCGCAGGCGGUCUUCCAAGUCAGUGGUGAAAGCCCGGAGCUCAACUCCGGAACUGCCAUUGAAACUGUUGGACUUGAGUAUGAGAGAGGUGAGUGGAAUUCCCAGUGUAGAGGUGAAAUUCGUAGAUAUUGGGAAGAACACCGGUGGCGAAGGCGGCUCACUGGCUCAUUACUGACGCUCAGGCGCGACAGCGUGGGAUCAAACAGG